rnacentral:misc_RNA from 1 species
GAACUGCGAUAAGUAAUGUGAAUUGCAGAAUUCAGUGAAUCAUCGAGUCUUUGAACGCACAUUGCGCCCCCUGGCAUUCCGGGGGGCAUGCCUGUCCGAGCGUCAUUGCUGCCCUUCAAGCCCGGCUUGUGUGUUGGGUCGUCGUCCCCCCCGGGGGGCGGACCCGAAAGGCAGCGGCGGCACCGUGUCCGGUCCUCGAGCGUAUGGGGCUUUGUCACCCGCUCGAUUAGGACCGGCCGGGCGCCCGCCGGCGUCAAACCCCAAUCUUUCUAAGGUUGACCUCGGAUCAGGUAGGGAUACCCGCUGAACUUAAGC